GGACAGAUCUACACCAGCUCUCCAGGUAGGGAGGCUGGGUGGACAUUUAAUAUUAAUAAUUUGUGUGUAUGUGUCUGUAAGUAUAUGUGUGUCUGUAUGUUUAUGUGUGUGUCUGUAAGUAUAUGUGUGUCUGUACGUGUAUGUGUGAGUGUCUGUAAGUGUAUGUGUGUGUCUGUAUGUUUGUGUGUAUGUAUUUCUCUGUGAGUGUGUGUCUAAGUGUAUGUGUGAGUGUGUGUGUGUGAGUGUGUGUGUUUGUCUGUGAGCAGAGUACUUGUAGAAUAGAAGAAAGAAGGAACAGAGUAUUUGUAAAAAGGAGAAACAAGGCGCAAAGUACUUGUAGAAUAGGAGAAAGAAGGAGUAGAGUACUUGGAAAAAAAA